rnacentral:rRNA from 1 species
CAGCCGCCGCGGUAAUACCGGCGGCCCGAGUGGCGGCCACUAUUAUUGGGCCUAAAGCGUCCGUAGCCGGGUUGGGAAGUCCUCCGGGAAAUCUGGCCGCUUAACGGUCAGAAUGCCGGAGGAUACUCCCAGCCUAGGGAGCGGGAGAGGCCGAGGGUAUUCCCGGAGUAGGGGUGAAAUCCUAUAAUCCCGGGAGGACCACCUGUGGCGAAGGCGCUCGGCUGGAACGCGUCCGACGGUGAGGGACGAAGGCCAGGGGAGCAAACCGGAUUAGAUACCCGGGUAGUCCUGGCGGUAAACGAUGCGGACUUUGUGUCGGACAAGCUAUGAGCUUGUCCGGUGCCGGAGGGAAACCGUUAAGUCCGCCGCCUGGGGAGUACGGCCGCAAGGUUGAAACUUAAAGGAAUUGGCGGG